AUUAUGGCUCAGGAUGAACGCUAGCGGCAGGCUUAACACAUGCAAGUCGAGGGGCAUCGGGAGUAGCAAUACUUGCCGGCGACCGGCGCAAGGGUGCGUAACGCGUGAGCAACAUGCCCGUAUCAGGGGGAUAAUCCAUGGAAACGUGGUCUAAUACCCCAUAGUAAUUAUGUAAGGCAUCUUAUAUAAUUUAAAGCUUUGGUGGAUACGGAUUGGCUCGCGUGACAUUAGCUAGAUGGUAAGGUAACGGCUUACCAUGGCUACGAUGUCUAGGGGUUCUGAGAGGAAGGCCCCCCACACUGGAACUGAGACACGGUCCAGACUCCUACGGGAGGCAGCAGUGAGGAAUAUUGGACAAUGGAUGGAAAUCUGAUCCAGCCAUGCCGCGUGCAAGGAAGACGGCCCUAUGGGUUGUAAACUGCUUUUGUAUGGGAGCAAUAAGGGCUACGCGUAGUCCGAUGAGAGUACCAUACGAAUAAGCACCGGCUAACUCCGUGCCAGCCGCCGC
rnacentral:rRNA from 1 species